CAGUUCUUAGGAUAAUGCUUUGUUCAAAAGCAUUUUAAAAAUUAUUAUUUUAUCCCCCUAACCUCCCCAUGUGGCAGUUCCACACUCUGAUUCCCAUUUUAAACACCGAAACAUGAGAGACAAGGUUAAGUCAUCUGCCCCACGUUACACACAGCUCGGCCCUCAGCCGGGUUCUGUCCAGCCGGUGCCUGGAGAUGCCCCCAAGCCGGCGGGCCGGGGUUACCGCAGAGAUGCCGGCUCCAGGCUUGGCCAAACGGUGAAGGAUCAGUGGUCCAACAGCACAACCAAACUCUAACCACACAUGCGGGGGCGUUUAUACCCCGGGUCCUCUGACCGGCAACUCCCCAAAGAAGGAUUUAUUUCAGAAGCAUUAGCAUUUGGAAGGGUUUUCAAGACUUGCGUGUUAACGUAACAUGUUAACCGCCCCCCGCCCCCCAAGUGAGAGGACCGCACCCUUCCGAGGGACCAAAGUCGCCCUGAAGACCGAGAGAAGGUUCCUCUUCCUGAUGGGCAAGCCUAAGAACCAGAGUCGCCGGUGCUCCCGGGCGCCGCACAGCCGCCGAGCCGCGCGGGAGGGAGCGCUCCGCAUCGCGGCGGGUGCACCUCGCCCGGGAGAAACACGCGACCACCCCGCGCACCGGCCGAAGCCGGGUUGGAGCAUCUCUCUCCGAGGUGCCCGCGGACGCCCCAGGCUGGCCGUGUCCCCAUCGCAGCCACCUGCCCGCGCCGGCCCUCCGCCGGCCCCCGGCGCCCGAGCGGCCCUCACCUGAUCCGGAGAUGUGGACGCGGAGCGGGCGGCCCCGACUCGAGCACGACGACAG
rnacentral:lncRNA from 1 species